GGCUUGGUGCGGGCCGGAGGGCGGGGUGACACGUAGGGCGGGAGGGGUGUCCGGGAUUGUUGGGGGUGACGCGCCCGUAGGCGGUCUGGUGCGUCUGCUGUGAAAACCCGGGGCGUAACCCUGGGCUUGCAGUGGGUACGGGCAGACUAGAGGUAGGUAGGGGAGAAUGGAAUUCCCGGUGUAGCGGUGAAAUGCGCAGAUAUCGGGAGGAACACCGGUGGCGAAGGCGGUUCUCUGGGCCUUACCUGACGCUGAGGAGCGAAAGCGUGGGGAGCGAACAGGAUUAGAUACCCGAGUUGC
rnacentral:rRNA from 1 species